rnacentral:misc_RNA from 1 species
GAGUGGCCCACGGCAGUGGGAGGCA